AGUGAACGCUGGCGGUAGGCCUAACACAUGCAAGUCGAACGGCCUCACAGUAAGUGCUUGCUCUUACGGGUGGCGAGUGGCGGACGUGUGAGGAAUACAUCGGAAUCUACUUUUUCGUGGGGGAUAACGUAGGGAAACUUACGCUAAUACCGCAUACGACCUACGGUUGAAAGCAGGUGAUCUUCGGACCUUGCGCGAUUGAAUGAGCCGAUGUCGGAUUAGCUAGUUGGCGGGGUAAAGGCCCACCAAGGCGACGAUCCGUAGCUGGUCUGAGAGGAUGAUCAGCCAAACUGGAACUGAGACACGGUCCAGACUCCUACGGGAGGAAGCAGAGGGGAAUAUUGGACAAUGGGGGAAAGCCUGAGCCAGAAAUACCGCGUGGGUGAAGAAGGCCUUCGGGUUGAAAAGCCCUUUUGUUGGGAAAGAAAAGCAGCAGGUUAAUACCCCGCUGUUCUGACGGUACCCAAAGAAUAAGCAACGGCUAACUUCGUG
rnacentral:rRNA from 1 species